rnacentral:rRNA from 1 species
AUUGAACGCUGGCGGAAUGCUUUACACAUGCAAGUCGAACGGCAGCACGGGGCAACCUGGUGGCGAGUGGCGAACGGGUGAGUAAUACAUCGGAACGUGCCCAAUCGUGGGGGAUAACGUAGCGAAAGUUACGCUAAUACCGCAUACGAUCUACGGAUGAAAGCGGGGGAUCGCAAGACCUCGCGCGCAUGGAGCGGCCGAUGUCAGAUUAGGUAGUUGGUGGGGUAAAGGCUAACCAAGCCGACGAUCUGUAGCUGGUCUGAGAGGACGACCAGCCACACUGGGACUGAGACACGGCCCAGACUCCUACGGGAGGCAGCAGUGGGGAAUUUUGGACAAUGGGCGCAAGCCUGAUCCAGCCAUUCCGCGUGCAGGAUGAAGGCCUUCGGGUUGUAAACUGCUUUUGUACGGAACGAAACGGCGAGCUCUAAUACAGUUUGCUAAUGACGGUACCGUAAGAAUAAGCACCGGCUAACUACGUGCCAGCAGCCGCAGUAAAAC